ACAUACGGAAACCGCCAUUUGUAAUUAUGCCUCAGUGUUGUGUGCCAAUGUGUACAAAUCGAUCGGAAUUAAACCCUGAACUAUCUUUCUACAGAUUUCCAGCUGACGAUAAAGAGAAGAAGCACUGGCUGCAAGCAAUCAGACGCAAAGAUUUCACACCAACUUGUAACAGCAGAGUUUGUAGUUGGCACUUUCCCGAUGGAAAAUCUGCAGGACCCAGUAAAUUCAAAUGGAAUGAGAAAAACUCUUUCAUCUACACAGUUCCAGAGAAAAGGAAAAAGAGGAAACUGAAAAAAUUAGCUAAGGACAUCUAUGGUGGACAAGGACCUCUGGACAAUCCUCUUAUGCUUUUAGCCAGUGUUGCUGCUUCAGUUCAAGAGGACACCAGAAGUUCUCCAACUAGCUCAGUGUCAUUUGAAAUAUAAAGUGAUUUUCUUGAGGCCUAAAAUCCAAAAAGGAACUGGAAUUGCAGAAACAAAAACCUUUUCAUUUUGACAGAUGGAACAUGACCAAGUGUACUAUAACAUCAGUUUACCAGAUUCAACAAGUGUAAGAUUACUAUCUGAUCUACUCCAGAGGUUACUUUACAAUAGCAUAGUUCCUGUGAAGCUGUGAGCUUUGAUGAAACUGAAACUCAGUCUAGGACAUGUUGAUUUAGCCACAAGAUUCAACUGUAGUACAACUACUGUGACAAAUGUAUUCAUUACCAUUAUUAGUGCCCUGUAUCAAUUACUGUAUAUUGGUAUGAUGAGUAAAAUUGCAUGUUUUCCUCCUUCUCCAAAUUAUUGGACUGUACAGAAGUUACAGUAGAUCACACUGAGGAACUUGAUUCAAAGUCUAGUUAGCAACUAUAGAGGAAGAACAACCCUAAAAGCCUUGAGUGGCACCUAAUAGGGUCAUCACUUGUGCCAGUGAACUUUACAGUGGUAGUCUCUCUGACAAAGCAAUCACCUUCGAGUGUGGUAUCUUAGAUCAAUUAGAAGUAGAAGAUAUGAUAUUGGCAGACAAAGGAUUUACAAUUUGGAACUUGUUACAAGAGGUUAUUAACUAAAUAUUACAUCUUUUCUUGUGAAUGGUCAGUUCACCAAAGAACAACCCUGAACAAUAAACUAAUUUCAUCAGCAAGGAUAUACGUUGAAAGAUCCAUACAGAGUAAAAGCACUUAUUACCAGCUGUGGCUCUGGAGAAAGAAUCCACUCCAAGCCUGAAAAUCUUCCGAGUGAGGAUAACCUUAGUUGCAUCCAGAAGAUGUCCUCUCCUUGAACAAGCCUUGUUAUUGCAGCUAAAAUAUGCAAAUUACAAUAUGAAAUGUGGGUUUUCAUGAACUUGGAAAUAAGAUAAUAAAUUGUGUAAAAAAACUAAAGUUCUACCUAUCAAACAGAUCCACAGUAAAGUGGUAAUACAGAAAUAUCAAAACUCAUUCAUACACAAUUACUUAGAUGGAUGUCAUAUAAAAAAUGUGUGAAUAUGAAUAAAUAUACAAAUUAAUAACUUUACCAAGGAAAGUUUUACACCAUAUUAAGAUGAUCUCAAUAAAUGUUAUCAAUUUUUACCAUUGCUCCUACCACGAGGUACUUCUAAUAGUCGUUUUGGAAGAGUUUCCUCAUACUUUCUUCUCUUGGGAUGGCUCUGCUGACAUUCAACAUCUGUUUGUGUGACAUUUUUCUCGACCCAAAUCAGUAAUGUGGCAAUUUAACAAUCUGGUUCUCAUCUUGAACCCGUAAGAAACAUAAAUGGAAGAGGUUAAAGUAAGUGGAUGCAAGAUAUCAUGAUGUUACUACACUAUGAUCACUUCCGUUUUUAUACAUUACCUUGACAUACGACCAGUGAAAAAUGUGGAUGCAAGAUAUCAUGAUGUUACUACACUAUGAUCACUUCCGUUUUUAUACAUUACCUUGACAUACGACCAGUGAAAAACGACCAUCAAUAUGAAUUUACAAUGCACUAUUCUAGGUAUACACACAUACAUACAAAGUCCUCUGUCUUUGUUAUAAACACUGAAUAUUUGACAACUGUCCACUACUAGAUAUCACAAUUAAAGUUUAAAUAACGUACAACUAGACUUUCUUGAGACUUAUUGAGCACUAGGAGUAAGCACUGUUCAUAUUCACUUUCCUUAUAUUAAGUCUAAUAAAAUUUAUUUUUAUUUCUCUUAUGUUGGACAUCCAAACUAAAAAUGUACACACUAGAUUAGCAUCUCGGCUCUACUGUGUAUAAACUAUAAUAAAGUUAUUUUUUGUCAAUUCAUCAUUACAAAAAUUCAAAAACUAUGCAAAAUACAAUAUAUUUCAAUAUUUGUAGUAAUGUGGUGAGAAACUGCUUUAAAUUCCAAAGGCAAAUCACAAAAUUUAACAUUAUAUUUAUAUGCAGUAGGGCUGAGAUGCUGAUCUCAAAACUACUAGUAGUACAGUUAACAUUAGGUAGUGUAUACAAGAUAAAAUGUAUAUUGUUACUAAUAUUAAUACAGGCUUUGGCUCAUUCAGCUUGCAGGAGCCUACUUCAACAUUUUCUUUACUAAACUUUUCUUAGGGCUCCUAACACAGUGACAUUAAUUAGUACACUGAAACAUAGCUCUUCUUCAUGGAGACUUGUAUCGUCCUUGUAAUGAAACCUCCUGGCUGAAGUUGUACACUCUGUACUCUUUCGAGACUCAUAAGCAAGUGCUUUCUUGACACAUUCAGAAUAAUCACUAAAAUAAUGA
rnacentral:misc_RNA from 1 species